rnacentral:tRNA from 1 species
GUCGAGAGGUCAGAGCACUUGACUCCGGCACCCAUGGCCCCAGGUUCGAAUCCUA